AGCCUCGUAAUGAGCACAUAGCGAACUAUUCUUUCGCCUUUUACUAAAGAAUACCGUGUGUUUGUUGCAGAAAGAGGCAUACGCCACUUUUUGGAGGGUUAAUCUUUAAUUGGAUU